UAUCCUAGUGGUUAAGGAUAUGGAUCGCCAAUCCGGAGACGGCGGGUUCGAUUCCCGU
rfam:Aedes albopictus isolate Foshan contig143789, whole genome shotgun sequence.